rnacentral:rRNA from 1 species
UGGGGGAUAUUGCACAAUGGGCGAAAGCCUGAUGCAGCGACGCCGCGUGGGGGAUGAAGGCCUUCGGGUUGUAAACUUCUUUUGCUCUGAACAAGGCAUGCUAAUGGGUGUGUUGAGUGUAGGGGUUGAUUAGCGCCGGCUAACUACGUGCCAGCAGCCGCGGUAAUACGUAGGGCGCGAGCGUUGUCCGGAAUUAUUGGGCGUAAAGGGCUUGUAGGUGGCUGGUUGCGUCUGUCGUGAAAGCUCAUGGCUUAACUGUGGGUUUGCGGUGGGUACGGGCUGGCUUGAGUGCAGUAGGGGAGGCUGGAAUUCCUGGUGUAGCGGUGGAAUGCGCAGAUAUCAGGAGGAAUACCGGUGGCGAAGGCGGGUCUCUGGGCUGUUACUGACAAUGAGGAGCGAAAGCAUGGGGAGCGAACAGG